rnacentral:lncRNA from 10 species
CGACACAGUGAUGGUAUCUUGCAGCUGCUGCUUCUGUCCAAGGCACUGCAGCCUACUCGUCAAAAGCCCGAAGCCCAGCUCUGCCAGCAGUGCACUGUGUGCUCUUAGGAAACAGAGAAGCAAAGAAGUUAGCAAGCUUGUUUUGGCAGAAGAAAAAACACAAAAUACCCAACCACAGAUCCUCAAAAAUAUUGCUAAGCACUAAUUUUGCUAACAUGUUAGACAGCCUUCGGAUCUAGGCAAUCUUGUUCCUCAGCUGGAAAGAGUUCCUGCCAGCCAUGUGAUUCCAAAUCCACCCUGGACAUAUGGGGAUAAUGAGAAAAUCAGCUCCGGCCUUCCCUGGCCUUCCAGCCAAGUGAAUGGGGGCAUCCCCUGGUGCUUCAGCCCGGGGCCCACCCAGAGGAUGCUAGCUGGCCUGCAGAGGCCUCAACCAUGCCCUCCUGGACUCAGGUAAGACUGAGGUUUCCAUGCCCUCAAAACAAUUGUUCAGACAAAAACUCACUGCCCAGGUCAAAGUCACAGCACCAGAAAGCCAACCUGAGGAUGAAGACAAAGCUCUUUGUUGGCACAGUCCCCUGAUCAUUCGAGGUCAGCAUCUCCAUCAAAAUGGACCCAAUGCUGAGGCAAGAAGGAGAACAUCACUGUUAAGAAGAUGGAAAAUGCAUUUGAGGUGGACUGAACACAGCCAGGAGUUUUUGCUUAUCGACAGCACUGAAUCCUGCCUUGACUAGAGAGACUCGUCAUGUGAUCAACUGUGGCCAGAGGGCAUCCUGCAGACAGCUCCUGUCACACCACACUGACCAGACUCUUAUGAGUAUUUAAGCAUCUUCAGGGAAGCGAUUGACUGUCUUAUAAUGGUCUUACAAGUACGGAACUUUAUUACCUGCUAAUAAUCAGAGCACAUGAUGGCACAAUAGAAUAUACGAGUGAAGUUCUAAAUGCAAGGUUGUUCUUAUUCUGUGAGUGGCAAAACUCAUGCAGUGAGCAGAUAAAGCUGGCAGGAGGCAUUGGCGCCCUAAUGCUGGGCACUAACCACCUGCCCGGACUGCGAAUAUCUGUUGGGUCCUUUCUAUAUCUGGUCUAUUCUCGUGUUUGAUUAUAUCCUGGUGGCAAGAAUAGCAAAAUCAACUCUCCUUCCUAUCCCAUGUGGAGAGGCAUGAUUUGAGUCAGAGAGCAUUAUCCUCUCUGCGUUAUCCAACCCCAUGUCCCAUGAUGCACUUUGUAGACAAGCAAGUGUCCCUGGUGGAGAAUCCACAGCCACACAUCCUCAUUGGUUGCAAGGAUCAGUGUCCAAUAUCUACUGCCAUGAUCAUUCUCAGUUUUACAUCCACAGAGCUUCAUAGAAUUCUAACACCACAGGUCCAAGUAGAGGUUUUGGCCUCAGAGUGGGCUAGAUUCCACCUCUGACAGCAGCUGUGGGACUGUUUUUCCAUCUGUAAAAUGGAGACAAGAGUAUCACCUACCUCAUGGUGUUGGUGGGAUCGUUAAACAGAAUUCCGAUCAUGAAACCCUUAGCCUGCUCCCUGCAUAGGCUGCAUGCGCUCAGUGAGCUAUGGCUCUGUUUCAUGCUGACUUUACCAUCAUGUAAGCAGUUUUAAAAAUGCUAGAAGCUUUAGUCAUAGAAUUACCAUAUGAUACAGCCUACUGCAGAGUCCAGAGGCUGAGGCAGGAGAGUUACUUGAACCUGGGAGGCGGAGGUUGCAGUGAGCCAAGAUCGCGCCACUGCACUCCAGCCUGGGCAACAGAGUGAGAUUCUGUCUCAACACAAAAAAGAAGACAUGUGUCCCCAUCACAGUAUCAUACAGAGUGCUUCCACUGCCCUAAAAUACCCUGUGCUCUUCCUAUUCAUCCCUCUCUUCAACCCCAGCAACCACUGAUCCUUUUACCAUCUCCAUGGUUUUGCCUUUCCCAGAAUGUCAUAUUGUUGGAAUCAUACGCUAUGUAGCCUUUGCAAAUGGGCUUCUUUCACCGAGCAAUGUGCAUUGAAGGUGCCUCUAUGACUUUUCAAGGGUUGAUAGCUCAUUCCUUUUUAUUGCUAAAUAAUAUUCCAUUGUCUGAAUGUACCACAUUUUGUUUAUCCAUUCACCUACUAAAGGACAUCUUGGUUGCUUCCAAGUUUGGGCAAUUAUAAAUAAAAC